GUACUCACUUCACCAGCACAUAUACUAAAAUUGGAACAAUCCAGACACAGAAGAUUAGCAUGGACCCUGCACAAGGAUGACAUGAAAUUCAUGAAGCAGGGGGAAGAAAAC
ensembl:snRNA U6 U6 spliceosomal RNA